rnacentral:tRNA from 1 species
GGCCCGUUGGUCAAGUGGUUAAGACACCGCCCUUUCACGGCGGUAACACGGGUUUGAAUCCCGUACGGGUCACCA